rnacentral:rRNA from 1 species
UGAGUUUGAUCAUGGCUCAGAUUGAACGCUGGCGGCAGGCCUAACACAUGCAAGUCGAACGGUAACAGGAUGUGCUUGCACAUCGCUAACGAGUGGCGGACGGGUGAGUAAUGCUUGGGAACUUGCCUUUGCGAGGGGGAUAACAGUUGGAAACGGCUGCUAAUACCGCAUAAUGUCUUCGGACCAAACGGGGCUUCUGCUCCGGCGCAAAGAGAGGCCCAAGUGAGAUUAGCUAGUUGGUAAGGUAACGGCUUACCAAGGCGACGAUCUCUAGCUGUUCUGAGAGGAAGAUCAGCCACACUGGGACUGAGACACGGCCCAGACUCCUACGGGAGGCAGCAGUGGGGAAUAUUGCACAAUGGGGGAAACCCUGAUGCAGCCAUGCCGCGUGUGUGAAGAAGGCCUUCGGGUUGUAAAGCACUUUCAGUUGUGAGGAAAAGUUAGUAGUUAAUACCUGCUAGCCGUGACGUUAACAACAGAAGAAGCACCGGCUAACUCCGUGCCAGCAGCCGCGGUAAUACGGAGGGUGCGAGCGUUAAUCGGAAUUACUGGGCGUAAAGCGCACGCAGGCGGUUUGUUAAGCUAGAUGUGAAAGCCCCGGGCUCAACCUGGGAUGAUCAUU